GCGGUCGUGGUGGAAUUGGCCUACACGCAACUUUUAGGUAGUUGUGGGAGAAAUCCCUUGAGGGUUCGAGUCCCUCCGGCCGCA
rnacentral:tRNA from 2 species